UACAGCGGUCUCAAGCGUUGUUCGGAAUCACUGGGCGUAAAGGGUGCGUAGGCCGCACGGUAAGUCAGAUGUGAAAGCCCGGAGCUCAACUCCGGAACUGCAUCCGAUACUGCCGUGCUUGAGGACUGGAGAGGAGUCUGGAAUUCACAGUGGAGCAGUGAAAUGCGUAGAUAUUGUGAGGAACACUAGUGGCGAAGGCGAGACUCUGGACAGUUCCUGACGCUGAGGCACGAAGGCCAGGGGAGCAAACGGG
rnacentral:rRNA from 1 species